rnacentral:tRNA from 1 species
GGGAAUGUGGCCUAGUGGUAGAGUGCUUGCCUAACAUGCAUGAAGCCCUGGGUUCGAUUCCUCAGUACCA